ensembl:lncRNA TMEM147-AS1 TMEM147 antisense RNA 1
AGCGCUUUGGGGAGUGACUUCCGGCCAUGCGGGGCCUCUACCGCUGCCAUCGCGGUCCCGGUCUCCUGAAGUGGAACCCGGCUUGGAGUCGAGCGCGACCCCUCGCCCGUGGGCGCAGGCGAUCGAGUAAGGGUGGGGCGGGCCUCAAACCCGGAUCAGAACCCGCCCUGACCGGCGCAGAGAUACGGGACGCAGCCGUGAGCACUGUUUUUUAUUUCACCAUGGACCCAUCGGCGUGGGGCGCCCGCCCCGGGUGUCCUUCCUCCCCCGGGCAGCCAGAUGCUGGAACGGGAGGCACAUGUUCCGGCCCCGGCCCCUGGGAAGGAAAGAAAGGACCUUCCCGUUUCACUUGUCUCGGCUGAACAUGUAGCGGAGGAGGUCGACCACCCGGUGACUGUAGCCAUAUUCGUUGUCGUACCUGUGGAGGAGGGGUCGGGAGGUUCAAGGGGGUUCCUUCCGACCACCCCUUAGUUCCCCUCCCUCUAAGUCUCCAGCUCCUUCCCCCUUACCAUGAAAUGAGCUUCACGAAAUUGUCAUUGAGCGCAAUGCCGGCCUUAGCAUCGAAGAUGGACGAGUGGGUAUCACCGAGGAAGUCCGUAGAGACGACCUGGAAGUCAGAAUUUCAAAGAUAAGUGUGUCCGGCAGAGCAAGGACCUCCAGGAGCUGAGGCCCCGACUCUUAACUCUAUCGCCCAUCCAUGCAUUCAUCUAUAAUAUUUGAUGUAGCCCUACUGUGUCCAGUCUCUGGACUGGAGGGUAUGACCAAGUGCAGGGUAUGACCAAGGCACUGUGUCAGGGUCUGGCCAAAGGGCACAGGUCACAAACACCCUCAUGCUGUACCAGUACAUCCCUUUCCUAGGAAUAAUGCAAGCGUUUGGAAUGGGCCAGCAUGGAGGGCCUCUCUGAGGGGUGGCCAUGAGCCUGGGUCUAGAUGACUAGAAAGAUCUGACCGGCUGGGGCCCUCAGCACAGUGUCUGAGGUAGAAGGAGCUGCAGGAAGGGAGGACCUGAGGGUUUUAGCCCUAGUGUCAUGAAAGGCCACAGGAGUGUUUUCAAUCCUGAAAACGGGUGAUGCAAUGUGAUUCCAUUAAAACAAAAGAUCCCAGUGACUGUGGGAAAGUGGACCUGCAGGAGUUAAUGCAGGGAGACAGCACCAAGGUGGAUGUACAGGGGUCCACCAUGACCAUGGCAUCCACUCCUCACAGAGAAGGCAUCUGGCCAUGGCCUGGCCCUGAGCAAGUAUUGAAAAAAAUGGGAGCUGUUGUCUUUUGUUCACUAAGCAUGUAUUAGUCACCUGCUGUAUGCCAGGUUGGAGCCACAAAAGUGAAAAGGCAGCCCCUAAAUCCCUGUUUUCUUGGAGUGCACACACCACUGGGGCCAACAGUGACUAUGAAAUGAAAUUUCAGGUGAGGAAUAUGGCCACAAAAAGAACAUAUUUUGAGGGGGUGCCUUGCUGAAGAGGGAGGUUCCUCCAGAGACUUGGAGGAAGUAAGGACAGACUGUAUGGUCACCUGGCAAGGGAAGCAUUCCAGACUAAAGGAACAGCAAGUGCAAAGGCCCUGAGGCAGGGAGAUCUCCCUUCCUGCCCUGCAGUUUCUGACUUGGCACAUUGAGAGCAGCUCCCUGGCAAGUGGAAAUCAUGUCCCUUCCCAGAGGGCUCCUCCCAGGGUCUCCUCUCCUCAGCCCCUACCUCAUCCUCGGUGUAGGCAAGGAUGCCAGCCAUGGGCCCCUUGGCUGCUGCUUUUACAGCCUCCUUGAUGGCUGAGUAGGGGGCAGGCUGGGCGAGGCGGCAGGUCAGGUCCACGACAGACACAUCCGGGGUUGGUACCCGGAACGCCAUCCCUGUCAGCUUCCUGGAGAAUCCCCCAUGAGGAACAGGAGUCAGAACUUAGGGACGUUGCCCUCCAUUCCCCCUUUCCCUGUGGCUGGGCCAGGCCCCUGCUUUCCUCUUAAGGACUGAGGGCCGGGCCAGUCCAGUCCUCCUGGCGUAUGCCCCCACCCUGGUUGCAGCUUCUUGUCCUCAUACCCUUUGAGCUCUGGGAUGACUUUGGUCACAGCUUUCGCAGCCCCAGUGGAGGCUGGGAUGAUGUUCUGGUGGGCACCCCGCCCAUCUCGCCAGGCCUUCCUUGAUGGCCCGUCCACUGUCUUCUGGGUGGCCGUGUAGGAAUGGACUGUGGUCUUGGGGAAGAGAAGGACCAAGAUGAGGCCUUCAUGCUCCUAAGCUCCCAUGCCUCUUUUUUCCAGGACUAAGUUGGUGGCCUAGGUGUGGAGGCUGGUGGGGCCACCACCACAGACCACAGGAGGGGAUGUGUGCAGGCCAGGGUCCAGCCUUGCCUGAGGGUUGCACAGUGUUUUAAGUGACUUCUGCACUGGUGGGCCUCUCCUCCCGAAACCAGUCUCUCCCUCUUAACUCCAUACAGUAAGCAAGGCCCGGGAAGAAGUUGGGUUUCCCUGCCAUCCUUCCUGCCCCAGCCCCUCAUCCUCAACUCACCAUCAACCCUUCCACGAUCCCAAAUCGCUCGUGGAUGACUUUGGCGAGGGGAGCCAAACAGUUGGUGGUGCAGGACGCGUUGCUGAAACAGCCAAGGUGUGCACGGACACUGUGAGGUGAGUCGCAGAGCCACCCCUCCACCCUUACCCCUCUUGGGGUAUGCACGCAGACUUGGUUUUAUGAAACGUCAGGAUGAGGGUGAGAGGGAUCUGUGGGGACACUGUCAGACUGAAGGAGGCACUGAGGUGCAGCUGGGGAGGCUCCCCAAGCUUGUCCUCUGGAAGUCAUGCGUUUUUAGCAGAUAGUUUCGGGAAGGAGAAGCAGAAGCCAAGCGACCAGGAAUCCAGUGGGGCUGAGGGUGGGGAGGACGAGUCUACCCUCCCUUCCACACAUUGCAGGAUGUCACUGCCCACAUUACCUCACAAUGUUCAUGGAGCCAGGGUUAUAGUCAUUUUCAUUGACACCCAUGACGAACAUUGGUGCAUCCGGUGAGGGCGCGGAGAUGACCACACGUUGAGCACCUGCAGAGAUGUGGUCCUGGGGAGGAAGCGCAGGUGUCAGGGGCUUCUGGCACCAUCAUCCCCCCAGCUAGCCCUGGGCACCUCUCCCCAGCUUACCGAAGCUGCCUGUAUGGAGAGGUACACGCCUGUGGACUCCACCACGUAGGGGCUCCCGACAGCCCUCCAGGGGAUCUGUUUGGGCUCUUUGCUGUGGGGAAGUGGCAGGGCUGAGUCAGUCUCCCCUGCUUGAGCCCCACCUUCAUAGUCCAUGGCUUUCACCAUUUGACAGGCUGAGCAGGUACCGGCCCACCUGCAACCACCUGCGUCCCCUACCCCACACACCUACUUGUUCCAGAUGGGCUCCACCCCGCUGGCCUAGCUUUUCACCACUGCCCCACUUCAGACCACUUUCCCUUUGCUGAUUGCACCACCCCUGUUAUGCCUGGGUACAGGUGGUGACCUCCCCAACUCAGCCCUCAACCUCCUCAGAGGCGCCAAUGCUGACUGCUGUCAGCCAGCCCAGACCCUUUCUCCAUAUGCUGCCCGGGACGUGGACUCUGUGACUGUGAGGCCUGCCCGGCUGCUUUCUGCUUCCCAGCUCUGACAACCUCGCCAUGAACCCUCCUAGACCCUCAGCUCCUGCAAUAGGAAGCUGGCUGCCAAAGGCCAGGAGGGUCCCUGAAAACAGACACUGCAUUAAAGAAAAAGCUCCUGGAGGACUCCUGAAGCCUGAGGCAGCCUUGGGGCAGCAGUGGCUCAUGGUUUACAUUGGAAAGGUUUAUCAUGAGUAACCGGGUGCUUUGCUUCUGUGAUUCUUGGCCAGUGUCGGUCUGUUUCCUUUGCCAUUGAGCCUGCUCCCCUCAAUGGGGGGUUCAAUCAAUGUUUGUGGGGUUUGUUUGUUUUGAGACAGGGUCUUCCUCUGUCGCCCAGGCUGGAGUGCAGUGGUGCAAUCAGAGCUCACUGCAGCCUUGAUCUUCCUGGCUCCGGCCAUCCUCCUGCCUUGGCCUCCCGAGUAGCUGGGACUACAGGCGCACACCACCAUGCCAAGCUAAUUUUUAAAUUUUUUUGUAGAGAUGGGGUCUCACUUUUGUUGCCCAGGGUGCUUUAGAACCCCUGGGCUCAAGUGAUCCUUGACCUCCCACAGUGCUGGGAUUACAGGUGUGAGCCACCGUGCCUGGCCUCAUGGGUUUUCUUUGUUUUGUUUUGUUUUGUUUUUGAGACAGAGUCUCACUCUGUCACUCAGGCUGGAGUGCAGUGGCACGAUUUUGGCUCACUGCAACCUCCACCUUCCGGGUUCAAGCGAUUCUCCUGCCUCCGCCUCCCGAGUAGUUGGGGUUACAGGCAUGCGCUACCACACCUGGCUAGUUUUUUAUUGUUGUUGUUUUUUGUAUUUUUAGUGGUGACGGGGUUUGCUCUGUUGGCCAGGCUGGUCUCAAACUCCUGACC